rnacentral:rRNA from 1 species
CCUACGGGAGGCAGCAGUGAGGAAUAUUGGUCAAUGGACGCAAGUCUGAACCAGCCAUGCCGCGUGCAGGAAGACGGCUCUAUGAGUUGUAAACUGCUUUUGUACGAGGGUAAAUCCCGAUACGUGUAUCGGUUUGAAAGUAUCUUACGAAUAAGGAUCGGCUAACACCGUUCCAUCAGCCGCGGUCAUACGGAGGGUUCAAGCGUUAUCAGGAUUUAUUGGGGUAAAAGGGGGAGUUGGCGGUUCCUUAAGUUAGAUGUGCAAGCCCGUGGCUCAACUCCGGCACUGCCUGGGAUACUGGCGGGCUAGAGGUUAGUGGAGGUAGGCGGAAUGUAUGGUGUAGCGGUGAAAUGCAUAGAUAUCAUAAAGAACACCGAUUGCGAAGGCAGCUUACCAAACUAAGACUGACGUUGAGGCACGAAAGCGUGGGGAGCAAACAGGAUUAGAUACCCCGGUAGUC